rnacentral:snRNA from 1 species
GAAGGUAAUCUGAUGACACUGUUCACUCCAGUGAUCACCGGAGUCCACCCAGCUGAUCUGGGUGGGCGAUCCCCACCUCCCUCCACUCCACGUGUCACUCUCACAGUAGCCAUGCUGGAUCAAGGAACUUCCCAGAUAAGGAGAGGAAGGCCCUUCUUUUGUCAAGGGUGUACCGGCAGCUCAGUUCUCCUAUUAGAACAUCCAAAUAAGCUCUCAAAAAUCUGAGAAAGAGGGGCUGGAGAGAUGGCUCAGCGGUUAAGAGCACUGGUUGUUCUUG